AUUCCAGCUCCAAUAGCGUAUAUUUAAGUUGUUGCAGUUAAAAAGCUCGUAGUUGGAUUUUGGGUGCGGCAGGCCGGUCCGCCGUUUCGGUGUGCACUGGCAGGCGGCAUCUUUCUGUCGAGGACGCGCUCCUGGUCUUUAUCUGAUCGGGACGCGGAGUCGGCGCAGUUACUUUGAAAAAAUUAGAGUGUUCAAAGCGGGCUUACGCUUGAAUAUAUUAGCAUGGAAUAACACUAUAGGACUCCUAUCCUGUUUCGUUGGUCUCGGGACGGGAGUAAUGAUUAAGAGGAACAGUUGGGGGCAUUCGUAUUUCAUUGUCAGAGGUGAAAUUCUUGGAUUUAUGAAAGACGAACUUCUGCGAAAGCAUUUGCCAAGGAUGUUUUCAUCA
rnacentral:rRNA from 1 species